CAAUAAGCGGAGGAAAAGAAACUAACAAGGAUUCCCCUAGUAACGGCGAGUGAAGCGGGAAGAGCUCAAAUUUGAAAUCUGGUAGCCUUCGGUUGCCCGAGUUGUAAUCUAGAGAAGUGUUUUCCGUGCCGGCCCAUGUACAAGUCCCUUGGAACAGGGCGUCAUAGAGGGUGAGAAUCCCGUCCUUGACAUGGACCCCCGGUGCUUUGUGAUACACUUUCAACGAGUCGAGUUGUUUGGGAAUGCAGCUCAAAAUGGGUGGUGAAUUCCAUCUAAAGCUAAAUAUUGGCGAGAGACCGAUAGCGAACAAGUACCGUGAGGGAAAGAUGAAAAGCACUUUGGAAAGAGAGUUAAACAGUACGUGAAAUUGUUGAAAGGGAAACGAUUGAAGUCAGUCAUGCUCUUAGGAUUCAGCCGUUCUGCGGUGUAUUUCCUUUGAGUGGGGUCAACAUCAGUUUUGAUCGAUGGAUAAAGGCACGAGGAAGGUAGCACUCUCGGGUGAACUUAUAGCCUCGCGUCAUAUACAUUGAUUGGGACUGAGGAACGCAGCAUGCCUUUAUGGCCGGGAUUCGUCCACGUACAUGUUAGGAUGU
rnacentral:rRNA from 1 species